rnacentral:piRNA from 1 species
UAGUCAUGGGUCCUUGCCUAUUUCUGG